rnacentral:rRNA from 1 species
GACGAACGCUGGCGGCGUGCCUCAAACAUGCAAGUCGAACGGGGUUAACCCGAACCGCAAGGGGAGGGGAACCUAGUGGCGAACGGGUGAGUAACACGUGGGCAACCUGCCCUAAAGCCUGGGAUAACGACUCGAAAGGGUCGCUAAUACCGGAUAAUGUCGGAUCAUCGCAUGGUGGACCGAAGAAAGGGGAAACCCGCUUUUGGAUGGGCUCGCGUCCCAUCAGCUAGUUGGUAGGGUAAUGGCCUACCAAGGCGACGACGGGUAGCCGGUCUGAGAGGAUGAACGGCCACACUGGGACUGAGAUACGGCCCAGACUCCUACGGGAGGCAGCAGUUGGGAAUAUUAGGCAAUGGACGAAAGUCUGACCUAGCGACGCCGCGUGAGGGAAGAAGGCCUUCGGUCGUAAACCGUCUGUCAUUGGGGACGAAGGAAGUGACGGUACCCAAGGAGGAAGCCCCUGCUAACUACGUG